AGUAAGGUCAGCUAAAAAAGCUAUUGGGCUCAUGCCCCAAAAAUGUUGGUUUAUUCCCCUCCCCUACUA
rnacentral:tRNA from 1 species